AGCGCCUGCGCACUGCGCCGCCGGCUGGGGUGCUGGGGGCGGGGCAGGGGCAGGUGUAGCCUCUGUGCCUCGUUGUCCCCUGGCGCUACCCGGACAUCUCUCAGGGUGCCGGCACCAUGAAGAUCUGGACUUCGGAGCACGUCUUUGACCACCCGUGGGAAACUGUUACAACAGCUGCAAUGCAGAAAUACCCAAACCCUAUGAACCCAAGUGUGGUUGGAGUUGAUGUGUUGGACAGACAUAUAGAUCCCUCUGGAAAGUUGCACAGCCACAGACUUCUCAGCACAGAGUGGGGACUGCCUUCCAUUGUGAAGUCUCUUAUUGGUGCAGCAAGAACGAAAACAUAUGUGCAAGAACAUUCUGUAGUUGAUCCUGUAGAGAAAACAAUGGAACUUAAAUCUACUAAUAUUUCAUUUACAAACAUGGUUUCAGUAGAUGAGAGACUUAUAUACAAACCACAUCCUCAGGAUCCAGAAAAAACUGUUUUGACACAAGAAGCCAUAAUUACCGUGAAAGGAGUUAGCCUCAGCAGUUACCUUGAAGGACUGAUGGCAAGUACGAUAUCCUCAAAUGCUAGUAAAGGCCGAGAAGCAAUGGAAUGGGUAAUACAUAAAUUAAAUGCUGAGAUUGAAGAACUGACAGCCUCAGCAAGAGGAACCAUAAGGACUCCAAUGGCAGCAGCAGCGUUUGCAGAGAAGUGAUCGUGACAGUUGGUAGACAACAUCGGGUACUCCAGCUACAUCCGAUACUCCCAGAUCUGUGCAAAAGCAGUGAGAGAUGCACUGAAGACAGAAUUCAAAGCAAAUGCUGAGAAGACUUCUGGCAGCAACGUAAAAAUUGUGAAAGUAAAGAAGGAAUAAUCUACCCUGACUAAAGCUUGAAAUGCUACAUUUCCAAGGUGAAGAUGUGUGGGCACAUGUUAUGGCAGAUUGAAAAGGAUCUCAUUCCAUGGGAAAAAAAAAAAUCCUGUCUUGUUCAUAAAUUGACAAUGUCAAUAAAUUGAAAUAUGGUUCACUGUUACUCUUGA